rnacentral:misc_RNA from 1 species
CGGGCAACGAUCGCUGGUGGUGGUCGUUGCUGCCUCGCAGGCGACGGUCGCUGGUAGUGGUCGCUGCUGCUUCUCUGGAGACGGUCGCUGGGUUCUGCAGUCCAUCCUUUCAACAAGAGAACUACAUCUGUUUUGCAGACAUUCAGUGAUUUAAGACUUUAUUAGCAGGAGACUUGGUGAGGGACCCCAUGAAAGCAGUCCUAGUCCAGAUGAGACCUCAAACUAGGCAGUGGGUCUACAAGGAUGAUCCAGGCCCUCUGCAGUCACCCUGAUCUAACAACAAAACACCAGGUCUCCACUAUCCUGUGUCAUCAUACUUGCCACCUGGACCCAGGCCCUCUGGAUUGCAAGUCCGCCAGCGUUUUCUUGGGAAAGCUCACCCAAAUACAGACCCCCCACCUCACCAAAUUUGUACCCUACUUGCUACAAUAAAAACACGACCAUUCGUAGGCAGCAGUCACUCUCGAACGGCGGAGUCUUUCUUAGACUGAUGAGUGGUGGCUUUCACAAGCCCCAUGAAACAGUACUGUCUCCAAUAUAGAAAAACCCUGCUAUCUUCCCGGGUCCUACCCCGGGAGAGCUAGCCAGUGACUACAGGAACUAACGGUCAGUUAAAAAAAUUCCUCCAGUGUUGUGCAAAAAGUGACCAGUACGGGAAAAAACAACGAACACCGCGGACGAUAGUGACUGCAUUUUACGAAGGUCGACCAAAAAGAC